AUUGAACGCUGGCGGCAGGCCUAACACAUGCAAGUCGAACGAGUGGCGGACGGGUGAGUAAUGUCUGGGAAACUGCCCGAUGGAGGGGGAAAACUACUGGAAACGGUAGCUAAUACCGCAUACCAUCGGAUGUGCCCAGAUGUGAUUAGCUAGUAGGGGGGGUAAUGGCUCACCUAGGGGACGAUCCCUAGCUGGUCUGAGAGGAUGACCAGCAACACUGGAACUGAGACACGUUCCAGCGUCCUACGGGAGGCAGCAGUGGGGAAUAUUGCACAAGGGGCGGAAGCCUGAUGCAGCCAUGCCGCGUGUAUGAAGAAGGCCUUCGGGUUGUAAAGUACUUUCAGCGAGGAGGCGUUACUCGCAGAAGAAGCACCGGCUAACUCCGUGCCAGCCGCCGCGGUAUUC
rnacentral:rRNA from 1 species